GAUGAACGCUGGCGGCGUGCUUAACACAUGCAAGUCGAACGGUGAAGGCGGAGCUUGCUCUGCUGGAUCAGUGGCGAACGGGUGAGUAACACGUGAGCAAUCUGCCCCUGACUCUGGGAUAAGCGCUGGAAACGGCGUCUAAUACUGGAUACGAGCUGCGAAGGCAUCUUCAGCAGCUGGAAAGAAUUUCGGUCAAGGAUGAGCUCGCGGCCUAUCAGCUUGUUGGUGAGGUAAUGGCUCACCAAGGCGUCGACGGGUAGCCGGCCUGAGAGGGUGACCGGCCACACUGGGACUGAGACACGGCCCAGACUCCUACGGGAGGCAGCAGUGGGGAAUAUUGCACAAUGGGCGAAAGCCUGAUGCAGCAACGCCGCGUGAGGGACGACGGCCUUCGGGUUGUAAACCUCUUUUAGCAGGGAAGAAGCGAAAGUGACGGUACCUGCAGAAAAAGCGCCGGCUAACUACGUG
rnacentral:rRNA from 1 species